GAUCUAGAGGCAGCGAACAGAGAGAGAGAGCGGCCUCUGCCAUGGCCGGCACCUCGUAGAGAGGAACGAAGAGGAAGACGUAUGCUUAGGGUCAAGCGCCUCCUCGACGAAUUCCGCUCCCUUCUCGAGCCCAUUGACCGCGUCAAGCGCCUCCUUGCCUGCGCCUCCGCCCUCCCACCCUUCUCUGAGGCCGUCGCCGGCCAGUAUGUGUCGGAGCCAUUGAAGACGACAAUCUUAUUAGAUGACUUUUGGACCCACACCGUAAAGAAGUAGCUGUCAGAGGAGGAGGUUGCUGUUAGAGGAGGAGGGGCAGGCUCCUCAUACUCUUAGAAAUUUAAUAUUAAUUGGUGCAAGUCGGAGCCACGAGCACCGAUGCCAGCACUACCUCCAGGAACACCACCUCCACUGCUUCACAACUCAUCGCCUAUCCAAUCACAACCCAUUGCUCCAUGGUGCCGGUGCGAUCAGACCAGCCCCGCCUGAUCAUCCGGGUUUCUACUUGAUCUCUUUCUUUAACGUUCUUGAUUCAAGAUUCUAAAUUUUUAACAUUUUUUAUUUUUAUUUUUAUUUUUUAAUAAAUAAAUAAAUAAAUUAAAUAUUAUUUAAAAAAUUAUAUCUCAUGCGAUGCAUGGAUUAUAAGCUAGUACAGUAUAACCUUGAUCACUUAACCUUCACAUCCCAUGGGGAGUCCAAAACUUUCAAACAAUCCCCUCGGCUCCCCUCGGCUGUGAGCAAGCAUCAAGGUUUAUUUUUCCAUCACAGAGUCUCUCUUGCACAAACCACAUUGUCCGAUUUGGUUCCAUAAGCAAUAACCACAAAAAGGAUCUUGAAAAUAAACAACCAAGCUGUUCAGGGAAUUUCCAAUGAUACAAACAUUGCAAAAACAAAAUGUAGGCAAGUUGUUGUUGAGGGAGGGAAAGGAAAAAAAAAAA